rnacentral:rRNA from 1 species
AUUGAACGCUGGCGGCAUGCCUUACACAUGCAAGUCGAACGGCAGCACGGGAGCACUGCUGGUGGCGAGUGGCGAACGGGUGAGUAAUACAACGGAACGUGCCCAGUAGCGGGGGAUAUCUGCACGAAAGAGCAGCUAAUACUACAUACGACCUGAGGGCGAAAGGGGGGGAGCGCAAGUCCUGUCGCUAUGGUAGCGGUCGAUAUCAGAUUAGCUAGUUGGUGGGGUAAAGGCCUACCAAUGCAACGAUCUGUAGUUGGUCUGAGAGGACGACCAGCCAAACUGGGACUGAGACACGGCCCAGACUCCUACGGGAGGCAGCAGUGGGGAAUUUUGGACAAUGGGCGCAAGCCUGAUCCAGCAAUGCCGCGUGCAGGAAGAAGGCCUUCGGGUUGUACACUGCUUUUGUCAGGGAAGAAAUCCUCUAGGUUAAUACCCUUGGGGGAAUGACGGUACCUGCAGAAGAAGGACCGGCCAACUACGUGCCAGCCGCCGCGGUAAAAC